GACACUUCAAAAAUAUUUUUUCAGAAAAAUUGAAAAUUUCAGUUGUCUAUAAAUAGCUCAAAAAAAGUCAAAAUAUUUUGAAAUUUAAAUCACGUAAAGAAAACGCGAAUCUUAAUAACUGGUAAAAUUUUCAAGUAUCUACGACUUAUACUUUUUGAAUAAUAACAAAUAUCAAAAAUCGUUUGAGGCUAAACUGUUAUUUAACGUGGUUUUUGUAAAAAUUUAAAUUUCAAACACUCAUAAAAAUUUUUUGUCUGAAUCCGGUAGAGUUUUUUUUACAGAUAUUUGAAGAAAAAUGUAUGGAGAACCUUGUACCAAAUUUUCAAAACUUAGUUAUAAAAGAAAAAAAUUUUAUGAUUUUUCAACUUCAAAAUUACUUGCAAAUUUUCGCGUUUUCGACAGAUUUCGUAAAAAUUUGAACUAAAAACGCUUAUAAAAAAAAAUUGUGACUAACGAUUUUUAAUUUUUUUUAGCUACAUUAAAAACAACUCAUAAGGAACCUUGUAUUAAAUUUUCAAAACUUUUUGGUCAUCCAAAAAUUUUUUAUCGACACUUUAAAAAAAAUUUCUCAAAAAAAUCGAAAAUUUCAGUGGUCUAUAAAUAACUCAAAAAAAGUCAAAAUUUUUUGAAAAUUUAACUAUAUACGGAUACCACUCACAUUAACAUUUGGUGAAAAUUUCAAGUAUUUUCAGUGAUUAGUUUUUGAAUUACAACCAUAAAAAAAAAUCGAUUUGGUCGAAAACUGGUUUUGCGUAAAAAUUGCCGUUUUUCCGUCAUUUUUUUUUAUUCUGAACGAAGUGAUGAAUGUAUUGAUUUUACAAUGGUGUGUGUUUUUUUUUUUUUUUUUUUUUUUUUUUUUUUUUGUUUUU